CCUACGGGAGACAGCAGUGAGGAAUAUUGGUCAAUGGACGAGAGUCUGAACCAGCCAAGUAGCGUGAAGGAUGACUGCCCUACGGGUUGUAAACCUCUUUUAUAUGGGAAUAAAAUGUUCCACGUGUGGGACUUUGUAUGUACCAUAUGAAUAAGGAUCGGCUAACCCCGUGCCAGCAGCCGCGGUAAUACGGAGGAUCCGAGCGUUAUCCGGAUUUAUUGGGUUUAAAGGGAGCGUAGGUGGAUUGUUAAGUCAGUUGUGAAAGUUGGCGGCUCAACCGUAAUAUUGCAGUUGAAACUGGCAGUCUUGAGUACAGGAGAGGUAGGCGGAAUGCGUGGUGUAGCGGUGAAAUGCUUAGAUAUCACGAAGAACUCCGAUUGCGAAGGCAGCUCACUGGACUGCAACUGACGCUGAGGCUCGAAAGUGUGGGUAUCGAACAGGAUUAGAUACCCGAGUAGUC
rnacentral:rRNA from 1 species